rnacentral:rRNA from 1 species
AACGAACGCUGGCGGCAUGCCUAACACAUGCAAGUCGACCGAGACUUUCGGGUUUACUGGCGCACGGGUGCGUCACGCGUGGGAACAUGCCCUUAGGUACGGAAUACCUCCCGGAAAGCGGCGCUAAUAAAGGAUAGUGUCUUCGGCCCAAAGAUUUAUUGCCUCAGGAUGGGCCUGCGUUGGUUUCGCUUGUUGGUAGGGUAAAAGCCUGCCAAGGCGACGAUUCAUUGCUGGUCUGAGAGGAUGAUCAGCCCCACUGGGACUGGGACACGGCCCGGACUCUACCGGAGGGCAGCAGUGGGGAUAAUGGAACAUGGGGCGAAAGCCGAAGCCAGCAAGGCCGCGUGAGUGAGGAGGGCCUUAGGGUUGUAAAGCUCUUUUACCGGGGAUGUUAAGAAGGGAACCAGGAAAAAAGGCACGGCCAAACACGUU